rnacentral:rRNA from 1 species
CGGGACACGUGGUAUCCUGUCUGAAUAUGGGGGGACCAUCCUCCAAGGCUAAAUACUCCUGACUGACCGAUAGUGAACCAGUACCGUGAGGGAAAGGCGAAAAGAACCCCGGCGAGGGGAGUGAAAAAGAACCUGAAACCGUGUACGUACAAGCAGUGGGAGCACGCUUCGGCGUGUGACUGCGUACCUUUUGUAUAAUGGGUCAGCGACUUAUAUUCUGUAGCAAGGUUAACCGAAUAGGGGAGCCGAAGGGAAACCGAGUCUUAACUGGGCGUUAAGUUGCAGGGUAUAGACCCGAAACCCGGUGAUCUAGCCAUGGGCAGGUUGAAGGUUGGGUAACACUAACUGGAGGACCGAACCGACUAAUGUUGAAAAAUUAGCGGAUGACUUGUGGCUGGGGGUGAAAGGCCAAUCAAACCGGGAGAUAGCUGGUUCUCCCCGAAAGCUAUUUAGGUAGCGCCUCGUGAAUUCAUCUCCGGGGGUAGAGCACUGUUUCGGCAAGGGGGUCAUCCCGACUUACCAACCCGAUGCAAACUGCGAAUACCGGAGAAUGUUAUCACGGGAGACACACGGCGGGUGCUAACGUCCGUCGUGAAGAGGGAAACAACCCAGACCGCCAGCUAAGGUCCCAAAGUCAUGGUUAAGUGGGAAACGAUGUGGGAAGGCCCAGACAGCCAGGAUGUUGGCUUAGAAGCAGCCAUCAUUUAAAGAAAGCGUAAUAGCUCACUGGUCGAGUCGGCCUGCGCGGAAGAUGUAACGGGGCUAAACCAUGCACCGAAGCUGCGGCAGCGACACUAUGUGUUGUUGGGUAGGGGAGCGUUCUGUAAGCCUGUGAAGGUGUACUGUGAGGUAUGCUGGAGGUAUCAGAAG